rnacentral:rRNA from 1 species
CGGAGGGUAAGGAAGCUAGCCGAGCCUAGGAGGAUUCGCUUAGGUAGCUGGAACGUAGGGUCUCUGACAGGGAAGCUUCGGGAGCUAGUUGAUGCAGCAGUGAGGAGAGGUGUUGAUAUCCUUUGCGUCCAAGAAACCAAAUGGAGAGGACAGAAGGCGAAGGAGGUGGAGGAUACCGGCUUCAAGCUGUGGUACACGGGGACGGCUGCAAACAGAAAUGGCGUAGGCAUCUUGAUCAACAAGAGCCUCAAGUAUGGAGUGGUAGACGUCAAGAGACGUGGGGACCGGAUUAUCCUGGUCAAGCUGGUAGUUGAGGACUUGGUUCUCAAUGUUAUCAGCGCGUAUGCCCCGCAAGUAGGCCACAAUGAGAACACCAAGAGGGAGUUCUGGGAAGGCUUGGAAGACAUGGUUAGGAGUGUACCGAUUGGUGAGAAGCUCUUCAUAGGAGGAGACCUCAAUGGCCACGUGGGUAAAUCUAACACAGGUUUUGAAGGGGCGCAUGGGGGCUUUGGCUAUGGCAUCAGGAAUCAAGAAGGAGAAGAUGUCUUAAGCUUUGCUCUAGCCUACAACAUGAUUGUAGCUAACACCCUCUUUAGAAAGAGAGAAUCACAUCUGGUGACUUUUACUAGUGGCCAACACUCUAGUCAGAUUGAUUUCAUCCUCUCGAGAAGAGAAGAUAGACGUGCGUGCCUAGACUGUAAGGUGAUACCUGGAGAGAGUGUUGUACCCCAGCAUAAGCUGGUGGUUGCUGACUUCCGCUUUCGGAUUCGUGUCCAGCGGGAUAAGCGUGCCAAAGUCGCUAGAACGAAGUGGUGGAAGCUCAAGGGGGAGGUAGCUCAGGUGUUCAAGGAGAGGGUAAUUAAGGAGGGCCCUUGGGAGGAAGGAGGGGAUGCGGACAAUGUGUGGAUGAAGAUGGCGACUUGCAUUCGUAAGGUGGCCUCGAAGGAGUUUGGAGUGUCCAGGGGAAGGAGAAGCGAAGAUAAGGAUACCUGGUGGUGGAAUGAUGAUGUCCAGAAGGCGAUUAAAGAGAAGAAAGAUUGCUUCAGACGCCUAUACCUGGAUAGGAGUGCAGACAACAUAGAGAAGUACAAGAUGGCGAAGAAGGCCGCAAAGCGAGCUGUUGGUGAAGCAAGGGGUCGGGCAUAUGAGGACCUCUACCAACGGUUAGGCACGAAGGAAGGUGAAAGGGACAUCUAUAAGAUGGCUAAGAUCCGGGAGAGGAAGACGAGAGAUAUUGGCCAAGUCAAAUGCAUCAAGGACGGAGCAGGCCAACUCUUGGUGAAGGACGAGGAGAUUAAGCAUAGAUGGCGGGAGUACUUCGACAAGCUGUUCAAUGGGGAGAAUGAGAGUUCUACCAUUGAACUGGACGACCCCUUUGAUGAGACCAGCAUGCGUUUUGUGCGGCGCAUCCAGGAGUCUGAGGUGAAGGAGGCUUUAAAAAGGAUGAAAGGAGGCAAGGCGAUGGGCCCUGAUUGUAUCCCCAUUGAGGUGUGGAAAGGUCUUGGGGACAUAGCGAUAGUAUGGCUAACCAAGCUUUUCAACCUCAUUUUUCGGGCAAACAAGAUGCCAGAAGAAUGGAGACGGAGUAUAUUAGUACCAAUCUUCAAGAACAAGGGGGAUGUUCAGAGUUGUACUAAUUACCGUGGAAUUAAGCUGAUGAGCCAUACAAUGAAGCUAUGGGAGAGAGUCAUUGAGCACCGCUUAAGAAGAAUGACAAGCGUGACCAAAAAUCAGUUUGGUUUCAUGCCUGGGAGGUCGACCAUGGAAGCCAUUUUCUUGGUACGACAACUUAUGGAGAGAUAUAGGGAGCAAAAGAAGGACUUGCAUAUGAUGUUCAUUGACUUGGAGAAGGCCUAUGAUAAGAUACCGCGG